rnacentral:rRNA from 1 species
UGCAGUCGAACGAACUUCCGUUAAUUGAUCAGGACGUGCUUGCACUGAAUGAGAUUUUAACACGAAGUGAGUGGCGGACGGGUGAGUAACACGUGGGUAACCUGCCCAGAAGCAGGGGAUAACACCUGGAAACAGAUGCUAAUACCGUAUAACAGAGAAAACCGCCUGGUUUUCUUUUAAAAGAUGGCUCUGCUAUCACUUCUGGAUGGACCCGCGGCGCAUUAGCUAGUUGGUGAGGUAACGGCUCACCAAGGCGAUGAUGCGUAGCCGACCUGAGAGGGUAAUCGGCCACAUUGGGACUGAGACACGGCCCAGACUCCUACGGGAGGCAGCAGUAGGGAAUCUUCCACAAUGGACGCAAGUCUGAUGGAGCAACGCCGCGUGAGUGAAGAAGGGUUUCGGCUCGUAAAGCUCUGUUGUUAAAGAAGAACGUGGGUGAGAGUAACUGUUCACCCAGUGACGGUAUUUAACCAGAAAGCCACGGCUAACUACGUGCCAGCAGCCGCGGUAAUACGUAGGUGGCAAGCGUUAUCCGGAUUUAUUGGGCGUAAAGCGAGCGCAGGCGGUCUUUUAAGUCUAAUGUGAAAGCCUUCGGCUCAACCGAAGAAGUGCAUUGGAAACUGGGAGACUUGAGUGCAGAAGAGGACAGUGGAACUCCAUGUGUAGCGGUGAAAUGCGUAGAUAUAUGGAAGAACACCAGUGGCGAAGGCGGCUGUCUGGUCUGUAACUGACGCUGAGGCUCGAAAGCAUGGGUAGCGAACAGGAUUAGAUACCCUGGUAGUCCAUGCCGUAAACGAUGAUUACUAAGUGUUGGAGGGUUUCCGCCCUUCAGUGCUGCAGCUAACGCAUUAAGUAAUCCGCCUGGGGAGUACGACCGCAAGGUUGAAACUCAAAAGAAUUGACGGGGGCCCGCACAAGCGGUGGAGCAUGUGGUUUAAUUCGAAGCUACGCGAAGAACCUUACCAGGUCUUGACAUCUUCUGCCAACCUAAGAGAUUAGGCGUUCCCUUCGGGGACAGAAUGACAGGUGGUGCAUGGUUGUCGUCAGCUCGUGUCGUGAGAUGUUGGGUUAAGUCCCGCAACGAGCGCAACCCUUAUUACUAGUUGCCAGCAUUCAGUUGGGCACUCUAGUGAGACUGCCGGUGACAAACCGGAGGAAGGUGGGGACGACGUCAAAUCAUCAUGCCCCUUAUGACCUGGGCUACACACGUGCUACAAUGGAUGGUACAACGAGUCGCGAAACCGCGAGGUUUAGCUAAUCUCUUAAAACCAUUCUCAGUUCGGACUGUAGGCUGCAACUCGCCUACACGAAGUCGGAAUCGCUAGUAAUCGCGGAUCAG